rnacentral:rRNA from 1 species
UAAUACAGAGGGUGCGAGCGUUAAUCGGAAUUACUGGGCGUAAAGGGCGCGUAGGUGGGAUAGUAAGUUGGAUGUGAAAGUCCCGGGCUUAACCUGGGAAGGUCAUCCAAAACUGUUUUUCUAGAGUACAGUAGAGGGAAGUGGAAUUUCCGGUGUAGCGGUGAAAUGCGUAGAUAUCGGAAGGAACACCAGUGGCGAAGGCGACUUCCUGGACUGUAACUGACACUGAGGCGCGAAAGCGUGGGUAGCGAACAGGAUUAGAUACCCUGGUAGUCCACGCCGUAAACGAUGAAGACUAGCCGUUGGGAGCCUUGAGCUUUUAGUGGCGCAGCUAACGCGAUAAGUUUUCCGCCUGGGGAGUACGACCGCAAGGUUA